CCUACGGGAGGCAGCAGUAGGGAAUCUUCCACAAUGGGCGAAAGCCUGAUGGAGCAACGCCGCGUGGGUGAAGAAGGUCUUCGGAUCGUAAAAACCUGUUGUUAGAGAAGAAAGUGCGUGAGAGUAACUGUUCACGUUUCGACGGUAUCUAACCAGAAAGACACGGCUAACUACGUGCCAGCAGCCGCGGUAAUACGUAGGUGGCAAGCGUUAUCCGGAUUUAGUGGGCGUAAAGGGAACGCAGGCGGUCUUUUAAGUCUGAUGUGAAAGCCUUCGGCUUAACCGGAGUAGUGCAUUGGAAACUGGGAGACUUGAGUGCAGAAGGGGAGAGUGGAACUCCAUGUGUAGCGGUUAAAUGCGUAGAUGUAUGGAAGAACCCCAGUGGCGAAAGCGGCUCUCUGGUCUGUAACUGACGCUGAGGUUCGAAAGCGUGGGUAGCAAACAGGAUUGGAUACCCCUGUAGUC
rnacentral:rRNA from 1 species